AACGAAUUCCCUAAGUGAAGCCGUGUGUCGCAAUUUAGAAGACUGAGAAAUUUGCCCCCUUCAAGCAAUCUUCACAAUUGAGAACCCUUGAUGUAAUAAAUGAGGCUUUGGUGAAAUUGUAUAGUACAUUCUGGUUACCUACAUCUGUAUUAAAAAGUCACGAACUGGUUGGUGACUUUGGAAAGAAACAUUUGUAAGUCUCUCAAUAAUGCAUCUAGUGUUAUCAGUUUUUGUACUACUUGUUUUUUUCCACACAAGACACGCAUGUUUCUUUUUCUUUCUUUCUUUCUUUCUUUUUUUUUUUUUUUCGUGUGUGUGUGUGUCUGUUCUUUCCAUGUAUACAAUGAACUGUUAUUGCUAAAAAAUCAUUGGAGAAUUGUACAAUGUCGGCACCGAAAUCCUAAAAUAAGAAGUAAAAAAGAGGUGCAUGAUGUCUUUGAAUGAGAUAUGAUCUAUGCACACAGAAAGCUAAGUCCAAGCUUUUGCUGAAGAGGAUGAAUACUGCAAUAUGCAAUGUACCGUUGUGUUAAAAUCCUGAAAAAUCUCAUAAUUAUCAUAAUCUGCAGUCUGGCAAAAAUGUACAGGGAUACCUGUUAUGCAUACCUGGGUUGACAUAUAAAUACUUUUUAGCAGCAUGGUGCAUUGCCUUGUCAGUACUUUUUUUGGCUUCUAAGUGGGGAUGUGGGUAAUAAGAAAUGCUGUUUUAUGCUAUAAGUAUUUAAAUUUCAUAAAAGAAUUUUUUAAUCUCUGUGCAUAGAGGAUUUAAAUUUAAAAAAAGGCAGUUGAGGUAAUAGAUAUUUUAAAGAGCAUUGAUUUUUUAUUAUAUUUAAGCAUGCAUUAUCCUACUUCAAGUAAUGAGAAAGCACUUGUCACGAAGCAUAAAUGCUGGUGAGAAUUAUAGCUUGAAAUAUUGAUAGUAACCCUAAUGAUGUUUUGAAAAUGUAAUUAAACAUGAGUAUUUGACAAAAAUAUUACAAAGUUUUUGUGAAAUGAAUAAUAAUUUUAUUAGAUCAGUUAUAAUGAAAUCAUUGAAUUCAAUAAGUUCCCCCCCUACGGUGGGCACUAGCUAUUUUUAGUCUUUUGCCACUACUAAGGCCAAAAGUGGUGGUCAUUUUAUUAUGGGAGUACCUAAUAGGCAGUCACUAUUUCUUCCUAUGAGGGAGCAAAUCCAUGGCUUCUCCGGGACUCGAACCCAAGCUUUUUGGUAUCACAGUCGCCUCCCCUAACCACUAUACUCUCUGGGUGGUGAAUUCAGUAAGUUUGUUAGAUGGCAUUUAUACAAACUAUGUUAUAUGCAUCUGAAUUCGGUUUUUUCUUGUAAUACCUGUUGAUGAUUAUCAGUUAUUCAUGUGGGUAUUGUUAGUGUAUACUAUAUAAGGGGCAUCAGAGAUUGCUUUUCAUGUAUUUUGAAUAAGCUUGUAAUUCCAGUUUAAGAUCUGAGUUAACUGAUGUGGACUUUUUUGUAGCAUCUGUGUUUGAUACCACUUUUAAAACUUUGACUAACAAAAGCAUCCAGUUUACUAAUUAUGUGAAAGCGUUACUAAUUAUGUGAAAGUGUUGUUCUGAUAAUUAACAGGCUCGGCAUUUUUUAAAAUAGAUUUUGGCACUAAGAAUAAUUUGGUACUUUUCACUGUUUAUCUCUAGAACUAUUUAUCUUUACUGUUAUAAGAAUAAUUACAUUGAAAUUAGAUAUCUAAAACAGAUAAGAGUUACCAAAAAUGUUGCUUAAGAUUUUCUGGUAACUCAUAUGUAUUUUAUAAGUUUUUAGCUCUGAUAGCAAUCCCCAGAAGAGUCUUGAUGCCCAAAACAUUAUCACUAGAAAACUUAAUCCAGGAUUCCCAAUAAGUACUCAUAUCUUCUCUUAUUCUGUGUAUUUAAAUGCUAACAACUGAAAACAUUUAUCACGUGAUUUAAAUUGCAUUAAAAAGUUAAAUACCUUGUAAAUAAUAUCUUAGUAUAGAUUUUUAUAUAGACUUUUCAUGACACCUUUUAUGUUAGAUAAAAGGGGCAUAGUUUUUACAGAUGCUUGAGGGUAUGGAUUAAAAAUUUUAAUUUUUAAACUGAUUUUCAGAAUGGGUCACUUAACUAAAAUUUUAUUGAAAUUGUUAAAAAUGUGACAGUUUAUCUUAUUUGAUUGAUUGUAUAAACUGCCUUGUCACUUAUUCAGGAGAUAUUCGGUAUUGCAGUCUUUCUGUAAUAUUUUAUGUAUUAAUCUUAUUGAUAUUUAUGAAUAAACUAAAUGUUCCAUUCGUGA